ACUGUCUCUAUUUUAUUAUUCUACAAUUCGUUCCACAUAGUCUGCAGAGCCCCAUUCAUACUGGAUAAAUUUUAGUCGCAUCCGGUCCGUCAAAUGUCUUAUGAUCUAUAGAGCCCUUUUGAUUUUUCUAUGGCAACAUUUGCUAUGCUGACGUCAUUGCCACGUCAUUACUGUCAGUCAGACAGAAAUAAAAGAAAAAUGGAUGCCGUUCAGACGUACACGCAUUAUUUGGAACUGAAAAUUACGUAAUUUAUCGACCUGCUGGCUUGUAUUUGUUAUAAAUCAUAAAAAACCUGUGACGCCAGUGGAACUACGUGGUUUUCUUACAUGAUGAUUUGAUGAUACCAUAAUGGAAUUAGCCAAGUUUUCGCCGUAUUGGGUGCUAGAUGCCCCUUGGAGUUAAGCCCCAGUGCCACUAUACUACCUUACCAGUUAUGUGUGGGUGUUGUAGUCCUAAGACACCCCGGAGGUACUAAGGGCCUUCACAAGCUCACGCCACGCCUUCCUAUCUUCAGCAACCCUCGUGACUUCGCUCCACCAGCUCAAACCUGCCAGUCGCAGCUCAUUUUUCGACGGACCGCUUCCAUGAGUAGACAAGGCACCGACGAUCACGGCUUGCAUCACCUGUACUGCUUCGUAAUAUAGUAUGCUGAACACCGCUGUCAUUAUACUAGGAACAACGCCCUGCCCCUUCCCCGGCUGCGCACAAAUUGGAACUCCAUUGGCAUGCCCCUUUGACUGAGCAACUUGUGUAUGUGUGUGUGCUCGAAUCACAUUCACUUGCAACAGAAUGACUCCCAGGCUGACCUGGCUCAGUUCCUGUAUGUCUGAUCUACACCCACAAUGGUUUCAAUGAAAGAGUGAAAAUUCUUCUCCAUGUACAAUCACUUUCAACGCCUACACUGACUACCCCAAAUAUGAUCAUCACUCAACGUGUCUCACAUCAAGAUACUUUUCAAAAGUCAUCAAGAAGUGGAACAAUAUUUUUUUUUUCCAUUAUUGCCUGAAUAAUCCUAACUAAAAGUUAUUUCUCUAUUCUAUUUUUCCUGCAUGGAGUGGCGCUUUUCCGUCUAAUGGAACCAACAAGAACAUGUAUGCUCUGGGUUUUUAUUGUGCACCUUUCCAAUAUUACUAAUAAAGCAUUU